UACGGAGGGAGCUAGCGUUGUUCGGAAUUACUGGGCGUAAGGCGCACGUAGGCGGCUUUGUAAGUUAGAGGUGAAAGCCCGGAGCUCAACUCCGGAAUUGCCUUUAAGACUGCAUCGCUUGAAUCCGGGAGAGGUGAGUGGAAUUCCGAGUGUAGAGGUGAAAUUCGUAGAUAUUCGGAAGAACACCAGUGGCGAAGGCGGCUCACUGGACCGGUAUUGACGCUGAGGUGCGAAAGCGUGGGGAGCAAACGGG
rnacentral:rRNA from 1 species